CGUCGGGCACCACGGGGAACAGGCGCUCGGUGGCGCGGUUGGUCUCGAUGAUCACGUGCUGGUUGAACUGGCGCGUGUUGAGGCCCAGGGACUCGUAGAACUUGGUGCGCUGGUGGUCGUUCAGGUACAUGGUGAUGUAGACCGACAGGCAGAAGAACUUGGACCAGAGCUUGGCCUCAAAGGUGUUGAGCAGCUCGGGCUUGGCCUUCAGGCAGGCGGCCAGGAAGUCGCCGUGGCGGUUCUCGUCCUGUGUGGGGAGGCAGGCGGGGUGAGGCGGGAAGGCAUCAGGAGCAGUCGUGGGGACGAGGCAGGCGAUGUGUGCAACAAAGCAGGCAGGGCAUCGACGACACCCAUCCCUACCCGUCCCUCACCCCAUCGCCGGCCCCGGCUAACACCCAGGCGCCAGCCGCCCUCCCCUCCCUCCCCUCCCCCACGCUUCUCCCCUCCCCUCAGUCGCCCUCACCUGGCACCAGUUCUCAAAGUA
rnacentral:lncRNA from 1 species